CUAGUGAAGAAAUUUGGGACAAGAAACUAGAGUUAACUCGCCAUUCAUCGAGAGACAGAAGGGGAACCAACCGCACGCGUCGUUAGAUGUAACAAAUGCAACACGGUCGAGAAGGGCGCACAGAGGGAAGAAGGUAAACGAGCGUCCGAAUGCGUGAGUGUGGCCAGGAAAAAAGGUCGCCAACUUAACGAGGGCUGGACCAGCCGGAACCAGAGAUGAAUUCUUGCAUGCCUUCCAUUGAAACACCCUGCCGGAAAUUACACUUUUUACUUUUCCCCACCUCUGCGAAAUUGAGUGGGUGCCUAGAGCCUGAUGAGAAGCAUCCGCAAGGAAAGCCAACGUGCAACGCGAACUCCGCCCGCUGAAUGUUUAAAUGCACGGCAGGACUUUAUCUCGGAAUUGUACCCAGUAAGGGAUGAAAUCUGCGGCUGCCGGCAGCCAACACCAGCCACCCGGAAAUCUGCGUGAUUAAGUGCACCCUUCGUUGGACGAUAAUUGCUCUACAAAUACGCGAAAUUUAUUGCGAAUUCACCACUAGACACCGGGGACACGUCCCUUUUGCAACCCACCACGAAUUUCCCCGGGACGACUAUAUCUGACGGUCAAGUUAAAUAAACGAUUAUCCUCUCUUUAUUUCACUUUACAGCUGAUAAACAGUAUCUUGACCAUUUGCAAAUUCUCUUCAAGGAAAGACGUCGUAUCGACCACGUUGUCUUGGAGGAAGCAGUUAAAAAAAGUUCUCUUAGUUCGAUACGGUAUAUUUUACAGAACAUCACGUUUUUAUGCGGUGUGUUUAAAUC